UCAGGAUGAACGCUAGCGACAGGCUUAACACAUGCAAGGUCGAGGGCAGCAUAGAAGUAGCAAUACGUCGGUGGCGACCGGCGCACGGGUGAGUAACGCGUAUGCAACCUACCUAUCAGAGGGGAAUAACCCGGCGAAAGUCGGACUAAUACCGCAUAAAACAGGGGCACCGCAUGGUGAUAUUUGUUAAAGAAAUUCGCUGAUAGAUGGGCAUGCGUUCCAUUAGGUAGUUGGUGAGGUAACGGCUCACCAAGCCGACGAUGGAUAGGGGAACUGAGAGGUUGGUCCCUCACACUGGUACUGAGACACGGACCAGACUCCUACGGGAGGCAGCAGUGAGGAAUAUUGGUCAAUGGGCGGGAGCCUGAACCAGCCAAGUCGCGUGAAAGGAAGAAGGAUCUAUGGUUCGUAAACUUCUUUUGCAGGGGAAUAAAGUGCAGGACGUGUCCUGUUUUGUAUGUACCCUGAGAAUAAGGAUCGGCUAACUCCGUGCCAGCCGCUGC
rnacentral:rRNA from 1 species